UACGAAGGGGGCUAGCGUUGCUCGGAAUUACUGGGCGUAAAGCGCACGUAGGCGGAUUGUUAAGUCGGGGGUGAAAUCCUGGAGCUCAACUCCAGAACUGCCUUCGAAACUGGCGAUCUUGAGUCCGGGAGAGGUGAGUGGAACUGCGAGUGUAGAGGUGAGAUUCGUAGAUAUUCGCAAGAACACCAGUGGCGAAGGCGGCUCACUGGCCCGGUACUGACGCUGAGGUGCGAAAGCGUGGGGAGCAAACAGG
rnacentral:rRNA from 1 species